GGGAAUAUUGGACAAUGGGCGCAAGCCUGGUCCAGCCAUGCCGCGUGAGUGAAGAAGGCCCUCGGGUUGUAAAGCUCUUUUGUCCGGAAAGAAAAGCAUCGGGUUAAUACCCCGGUGUUCUGACGGUACCGGAAGAAUAAGCAUCGGCUAACUUCGUGCCAGCAGCCGCGGUAAGACGAAGGAUGCAAGCGUUAUCCGGAUUCAUUGGGUUUAAAGGGUGCGUAGGCGGGCUUGUAAGUCAGUGGUGAAAUCUCUCAGCUUAACUGAGAAACUGCCAUUGAUACUGCAGGGCUAGAGUAUAGAUGACGUUGGCGGAAUAUGACAUGUAGUGGUGAAAUACUUAGAUAUGUCAUAGAACACCGAUUGCGAAGGCAGCUAACGAAACUAUAACUGACGCUGAGGCACGAAAGUGCGGGGAUCAAACA
rnacentral:rRNA from 1 species